GAUGAGAACGUAGCGAAAUGCGAUAAGUAAUGUGAAUUGCAGAAUUCAGUGAAUCAUCGAAUCUUUGAACGCACAUUGCGCCCGCCAGUAUUCUGGCGGGCAUGCCUGUUCGAGCGUCAUUUCAACCAUCAAGCCCCCGGCUUGUGUUGGGGACCUGCGGCUGCCGCAGGCCCUGAAAUGCAGUGGCGGGCUCGCUGUCACUCCGAGCGUAGUAGUUACAUCUCGCUCUGGGCGUGCUGCGGGUUCCGGCCGUUAAAAGCCUUAUUUACCCAAGGUUGACCUCGGAUCAGGUAGGAAGACCCGCUGAACUUAAGCAUAUCAAUAAGCGGAGGA
rnacentral:misc_RNA from 1 species